GUUACAUCAACGCCGACCAGCAGACACUCAUACAGGUGCGCCGCUAGGUAUCUCACCAUGGGUUUUGGCACCCGCUCCUGCAUGGUGUUCUGCUACCUGAACGGUGUCUGUGCGGUGUUCAUUAGCUACUUGUUCAAAAUAGGCAUCGACUCGAUGGCGAUCACUUCGGUCAUCAACAAAUGGGAUCGGCAGGAAAAGGCGCGUGCGUGCCGCAACGCCGGUAUUCUGUACUUGAUCUUGGCGGUGGCGGUGACGGUUAAGGAUGCGAUAGACACCUGUCGUGAGCGGCGCCUGAGCAGAGGCGUUGACCAACGAAUGGCAGAGUACGGCGUGGCUGACGCACCCGCUGGCGCGGAGGAAACCGUACCUCUGCUUGAGUGUAGCGCUUACGUCCACGGUGACGGUACGCGCCGCCGCAGUGUUGCCGGGCGUGGUGGCAGUGGCAGCGGCGGUUACGGUGGUGCGUAUUACUAGGAGGAUGCACGCGUGCAUCUCUCUCUCUGUGCGCAUACUUCUCCAUGCAGCGUCAGUGUCGACUCGCAGGCAGUUUUCCUUUUUGACGUGUUGAUCUGCGGUCGCGUGCUGUGGUCCCUUCGUGGCAAACGAAGUGGUGCAGUAGUGUGGACAUGCGCGUUGGUGUGCAUGCGCCAACGUCCAUGCCACUGACGUCUUUCCUCGUCCCUUCACUUUUUCUUUCGUUCUUUCAUAUUGCUAGAACAAAAACACAGGAGGGAGGAGGAUUGAGCAAGCGUAUCGAUGUACAACGUGGGCAGAGGGCAGCACUGCCGGCGACCCCUCACUGCGUGUGCGUGUGUUUGUCAUGUAGGACGCAGCGAGCGCAAGAAGAACGGCGCAGAUGAUGAUGCCGUCUUGCACGAACAACGCUAUUGAGCAAAGGAAAGAGAGAGAGGAAGGGAAGAGAAAACCGGAGGAGGACGCUGCUCCACGUGCUGCCCAAGAGGAGACGACGCAGCACGUCACAGAUAGCUUUUGGUACUCCAGCGCAGACGCGGAGAUGGGUGCGUUUCCGUUGAGGGAGGGGCGUCGAUGACGCACGGUGCACCGCUUCUCAGCCGUGUGUCUUUUGCUGUGUGGCCACGCAGAGUCGCUGCGCGAGCACAAAGGCGAACCUCAGCAGCGCGCCACCACGUGGACGGGCACGCGUUCGCAAUCGAUCGGACAAGUAAAAGCAGCGAGCCGCGGCGCUCGUGUAGUCGAGUGCACGGUGCACUCACAGAGACGACCCAUGACACGCUAUGCGUCUCUUCAUAUUGGCGCCUCGUUCCCAUGUGCCUUUGAGGUCUACCCCCUCUCUCCGAAUUAUGCGCUAUUCCUUUUCCUCAAAAAAAUUUCGCCGCUGCCAAACCUUCAUCAACUCUCUUCCCUGCGCCCUCCCCUCACCCCACACACAAACUCAAACGCCCUUUUUCUUCACUCGCUUCUGCAG
rnacentral:misc_RNA from 1 species